UGACUGGAUCAGAUGAUCGCGGAUGCAAAGCCGAAAGGCUGCAAAUGAGGAAAGUCCGGGCUCCGAAGGGCAAUGGUGCCGGCUAAUUACCGGUGAAGGUGACUUUAAGGAAAGUGCAACAGAGAUAUACCGCCGUAGCAUUACGGUAAGGGUGGAAAGGUGAGGUAAGAGCUCACCAGCGGCAUGGUAACAUGCCUGGCUAUGUAAACCCCACCUGGAGCAACACCGCAUAUAGGGACUAUGGGUAGCCCGCCCGUCUCUAGAGGUGGCUUGAGUAUGAUAGAAAUAUCGUGCCUAGAUAGAUGAUCGUCUAAUACAGAACCCGGCUUAUAGAUCCAGUAAGGAA
rnacentral:RNase_P_RNA from 2 species